GCGCCCGUAGCUCAGUGGAUAGAGCAACGGUUUCCUAAACCGUGUGCCGGGGGUUCGACUCCCUUCGGGCGCACCA
rnacentral:tRNA from 1 species